AGAAGAUCAUAAAUGACACAAAUAGAGAAGUAAGGACAUUUGAUUUUUGGAUUGAAGUGUGACAUUGGCUUUUAACUUUUGGAAUGAAGAGUCAAUGUUUAGAGAAAAGAUUAUCAUAAUGGAUUAAGAGUUAAGAUAGUGCACUAAGAGAAAGACUAGCCAAUUGGAUUUUUAGUUUUUAUUUAACAAAUUUGGUGAUUUCCCAUGGACGUGGUUAUUGGAAAAAGAAAAGUUGGCUAUACUAAUGUAAUUGGUAAAAAUAAAUGGAGGACUAUAAAUGGCACAAAUAGAGAAGUCAAGAUAUUUGAGUUUUGAAUUGAAGUGUGACAUUCGACUUGAACAUUUCAGUGGUUUUGUUAGAAGUUUAAUGACUGAAUAGCUUUGCUUCGUAGUCGUAGGAAAUUGUUUGUUUAUGAUAAACUACCUAGGAUUAUUUUAUACAUAUACAGAACUGUUUUAAAUAUUGCUUCAUGGAAUAUCUUUGUUUUGUUUUUAUGUGUUCUUUGUCGAUAUAUAUAUGUGUUUUUGUUUCAAAGAGUAGGUGAGUCAAAUAGUAGGACUGAUUGUAAGACGGGUUGAGAGAUUGAUGAGCAAGGAAUGAAAUUAUAACAUCCUUUAUGUCUUAGUGGUUAGGAAUGGAGCAUUGAACUCUAAUUUUAAAAUAAAUAAUAAAUAUAUAUGUUUUGAGUAUUAAAAGUUUUUGAAGGAUUGUGAAGAAACUUAUAAACUAAUAGGUUUUUUAAAAGAACCAAGAAAAGAGGUCUGAAGGUUUUUAAUUAAAGGAGUACUUGAAUAAAAAUUCUUUCGGGUAAUUGGUGCAAGUGCAAAGAUAGAUUCUGUUGGUUAUAAGCUAGAUAAGGCAAUCUUAUGGAAUUGCUGAGUUUGUUAGGUAUUAAAGAGACCAAAAGAUAAGUUGAAUAAGAGAAUGAUUAUCUUCAAGUAGAUAGGAAGAUAAUUUGAAUAAGGGAAUUUCAAAUAAAAGUACGAUUUCGACUUCAAGUUUUUGAUAGAUUUCUUGCCAUUUUUGGAAGAAAUUAGCAAAUUCACUAAAGUGCUAAUAAAUGGACAAACUAAGAUACUUUAUUUCAGUAGCUGACAAUUGACCGUGGAAAUUGAUCUAAGUCCAAAACAUUAACAGUAUAGUAUAUAAUUAAAAAUGAAAUGGUCAAAUGUGAGAUUCGUUGGUAUAUGGUUUCUAGGGUUCUACAAGAUUGUCUGACAAAAUGCAAGAGAAACUCAUUUUCUGAAAAGGAGUAAUUGGACCGAUCAUGAAAAGAGUUUUCAGAUCAUUCUAAACAAAGAAAGGAGACAUUAGAAUAAAAGGUAUUUGAGUAAUUGGAACCAAAGAAGUAUAAAAUUGGAUGAAGAGUUUAAGAAGAUGGAAAAGCUUUGGUACUUUUUAGGAUUGGCAACUACUUGCCAUGAUGUUUUAUACGAGAAGAUAACAUUAGAGAUUGUGAAUUUAAAGAGGGGAGAAAAGACACAAAGAGUGUGGUGGAUGAUGGAGUAAUUCAUUGGAAGAGUUUCAUGUAAAUGAAACCUAAACAUAAAAUGGGUUUGGGUUUAUUGGUGCAAGAGAAAAGUUCCUAUCGGUCUAAUAAAGUAGAUUAGUAUGAGAUUGAAGUUCAACUUUUGAAUGAAGAGUUCUUGUCUUUUUUUGGACAAAAUAAGUGAUGAAAUGACGGACAAAGAUGAGGCAUCCGUUUAGUUUUUGCAAUUGUGGCUUUGGCUUGGACAUGAAGUUUGUUAUAUUUGGAGAUUCGCAUUGGCAUAGGUUAAAGUAUUAAAAGUUUUUUAAGGAUUAGUGGAGAAAGUUGUAAAGCCUAAUAGGUGUAUUUAAGGAACCAAGAAAAGAGGCCUAAUAGGUUGCCAUCUUUUGGAGAAAGGAUUAUCAAAUUGGAUCAAGUGUCGAGGCCGUAAAGAGAAAGUGGAAAGGGGAAAUGCCAAUGUAAGAAAGUGGAAAAAGAAAAUAUCAAAAUUAAAGAUAGGAAAAAAACAUGAAAAGUGAGAAGUCUGUGAUGAUUAUUGAUUUAGCGUUUAGAAGAGUUCGUACCAAGAAGUUUGUAUUACCCAUCAUUACCCUAGAGCCGGACUAGGGUAUGAUGGGUACUAAAUACUUUUUUGUAGCAUUCGCUGCUAAAAACUAAGCCAAUAAUCAUCACCGCUUUUAACACAUUUCUUGUUUUUUCUUGUAUUUUAAUUUGUUAUUUUCUUUUUCUACUUUCUUACUUUGACUAAUGGUGAGAUUAGCCAAAUGGAUAAAAUUUUUAUUUAAGGGAUGAGGUGAGUUCUCUUUGCCAUUGUUUUGAGAAAUGAUUAUCAACUUGAAUUAGUGUUGAAAUAGUGCACUAAGAGUCAUAUUAGCCAAUUGGAUCAAGGUUUUAUUUAAGCUCUAUGGUAAUUUUUCGUUGAUAUGAAUAUAGCGAAAAGUCAUUUGGCUAAUGAAAUGAUAUUGAAAAAAGACAACAUGGAGGACUAUAGACGACACAAAAAGAAAAGUUAGAAUAUAAGAGUUUUGGAUUGAAGUGUGACGUUGAGAUUCAAGUUUUGGAUUAAAGAACUCUAGCCAAUUGUUUUGAGAAAGAAAUAUCAAAAUGGAUUUGUGCUGAGAUUAUGCAUUUAAAUUGUGAAUAGAUUAAGUUUUUGUUUAACGAAUUUGGUGAUUUCCAAUGGACAUGGUUGUUGGAAAAAAAAGUUGGCUAUACUAAAGUAAAUUGUAAAAAGAACAUGGAGGACUAUAAUCGACACAAAUAUAGAAGUGUGGAUUUAUUUAACAAAUUUGGUGAUUUCCAUGGAUAUGGUUAUUGGAAAAAGAAAAGUUUGCUGAACUAAUGUAAUUGGCAAAAAGAACGUGGAGGACCAGAAAUGGCACAAAUAGAGAAGUAAGGAUAUUUGAGUUUUGGAUUGUUAAGUGUUAUUCAAUUUUAACUUUUGGAAUGAAUAACCAUUGUUUCGAGAAAAGAUUAUCAGAAUGAAUUAAGAGUUAAAGAUAGUGCACUAAGAGGAAGAUUAGCCAAUUGGAUUAAGUUUUUAUUUAACGAAUUUGGUGAUUUGUUGUUGACAUGAUUAUUGGAACAAGAAAAGUUGGCUAUACUAAUGUAAUUGGUAUAAAGAACAUGAAGGACCAUAAAAGGCACAAAUAUAGAAGUAAGGAUAUUUGAUUUUUUGAUUGAUGUGUGACAUUCAACUUUUAACUUUUGGAAUGAAGAGCCAAUGUUUUGAAAACAGAUUACUUGUUUUGAAAACAGAUUACCAUAAUGGAUUUAGAGUUAAGAUAGUGCACUACGAGAAAGAUUAGCCAUUUGGAUUUAGGAUUUUGUUUAAGGAAUUUGGUGAUUUGCCAUGGAUAUGGUUAGUGGAAGAAGAAAUGUUGGCUAUACUAAUAUAAUUGGUAAAAAGAACAUGGAGGACUAUAAAGGAAACAAAUAAAGAAGUAAGGAUAUUUGAGUUUUGGAUUGAAGUGUGGCAUUUGGACUUUAACUUUUGGAAUGAAGAGCCAAUGCUUGGAGAAAGGAUUACGAUGAAUUAAGUGUUAAAAUAGUUCGAUAUUUGAGUUUUGGAUUGAAGUGUGGCAUUUGGACUUUUAACUUUUGGAAUGAAGAGCCAAUGCUUGGAGAAAGGAUUACGAUGAAUUAAGUGUUAAAAUAGUUCCUUAAUUGUAAGAUUAGUCAAUUGGAUUAUGAUAGAUCACCAAGUUGUGUUCGUAUUGUAUGGAUAUAAACUUCAACGAUUGCAGUAAGGAAUAGAUCAAUUUCAGAAUGAAAAGUACGAAAAACCAAGAAGAGAAUUAAAAGAACUAUCCUCUCUGCUUUUGGGUUAAUUUGUGCAAGAGAAAGGUCCCAUUGGUGUAAUAAGGUGUCGGAUGAGAUUGAACUUAAAUUUUUGAAUGAAGAGUUAUUUGCUUUCUUUGGAUGAAAUAAGUUACGAAAUGUUAAGAUGGACAGAGAUAAGGUAUCCAUUUGGUUUUCGGAGUAGUGGCUUUCGCUUGGACAUGAAGUUUGUUAUAUUUGUGGAGAUUCAUUGGCACAAGGUUUUGGAGUAUUAAAAGUUUUGAAGGAUUGGUGGAGAAGCGUAUAAGCCUAAUAGGUGUAUCUAAUGGAACCAAAAAAAGAAGUAUGGAGGUUUUUAAUUAAAGGAAGUACUUGAAUGAAAGAUCUUUGGGUAAUUAACGCUAAUGCUGGUUCGAUUCUGUUUAUUAUAAGCUGAUUACGGGCAAUCUUAUGGAAUUGCUUAGUUUGUUAGGUAUUGAAGAAGGCAGGAAGAUAAGUUUGUAUAAGGCCAUGAUUAUGUAAGGAGAUGGGAAGAUAAGUUUGAAUAAAGGAAUUUUAUACUAAAGUAUAAAAAGAACAUGGAGGACUAUAAAUGGGACAAAUAGAGAAGUAAGGAUAUUUGAGUUUUGCAUUUAAGUGUGGCAUUGGACUUCAACUUUUGGAAUGAAGAGCCAAUGUUCAGAGAAAAGAUUAUCAAAAUGGAUUAAGAGUUAAGAUAGUGCACUAAGAGAAAUAUUAGCCAAUUGAAUUAAGUUUUAAUUAAACGAAUUUGGUGAUUUGCCAUGUACAUGGUUAUUGGAAAAAGAAAACUGGGCCAUACUAUUGCAAUAUUGGUAAAAAGAACAUAGAAGAUCAUAAAUGACACAAAUAGAGAAGUAAGGACAUUUGAUUUUUGGAUUGAAGUGUGACAUUGGCUUUUAACUUUUGGAAUGAAGAGUCAAUGUUUAGAGAAAAGAUUAUCAUAAUGGAUUAAGAGUUAAGAUAGUGCACUAAGAGAAAGACUAGCCAAUUGGAUUUUUAGUUUUUAUUUAACAAAUUUGGUGAUUUCCCAUGGACGUGGUUAUUGGAAAAAGAAAAGUUGGCUAUACUAAUGUAAUUGGUAAAAAUAAAUGGAGGACUAUAAAUGGCACAAAUAGAGAAGUCAAGAUAUUUGAGUUUUGAAUUGAAGUGUGACAUUCGACUUGAACAUUUUCAGUGGUUUUGUUAGAAGUUUAAUGACUGAAUAGCUUUGCUUCGUAGUCGUAGGAAAUUGUUUGUUUAUGAUAAACUACCUAGGAUUAUUUUAUACAUAUACAGAACUGUUUUAAAUAUUGCUUCAUGGGAAUAUCUUUGUUUUGUUUUUAUGUGUUCUUUGUCGAUAUAUAUAGUGUUUUUGUUUCAAAGAGUAGGUGAGUCAAAUAGUAGGACUGAUUGUAAAGACGGGUUUGAGAGAAGUUGAUGAGCAAGGAAUGAAAUUAUAACAUCCUUUAUUGUCUUAGUGGUUAGGAAUGGAGCAUUGAACUCUAAUUUUAAAAUAAAUAAUAAUAUAUAUGUUUUGAGUAUUAAAAGUUUUUGAAGGAUUGGUGAAGAAACUUAUAAGCCUAAUAGGUGUUUUUAAAGGAACCAAGAAAAGAGGUCUGAAGGUUUUUAAUUAAAGGGAGUACUUGAAUAAAAAUUCUUUCGGGUAAUUGGUGCAAGUGCAAAGAUAGAUUCUGUUGGUUAUAAGCUAGAUAAGGGGCAAUCUUAUGGAAUUGCUGAGUUUGUUAGGUAUUAAAGGAGACCCAAAGAUAAGUUGAAUAAGAGAAUGAUUAUCUUCAAGUAGAUAGGAAGAUAAGUUUGAAUAAGGGAAUUUCAAAUUAAAGUACGAUUUCGGACUUCAAGUUUUUGAUAGAUUUCUUGUCAUUCUUUGGAAGAAAGAUUAGCAAACUCAUUGAAGUGCUAAUGAAAUGGACAAACUAAGAUACUUUCUUUGAGUAGCUGACAAUUGGCUAUGGAGAUUGAUUUGAGACUUGACUAAUGAAAUGGACAAACUAAGAAAAGAGGUCUGAAGGUUUUUAAUUAAAGGGAGUACUUGAAUAAAAAUUCUUUCGGGUAAUUGGUGCAAGUGCAAAGUUAGAUUCUGUUGGUUAUAAGCUAGAUAAGGGGCAAUCUUAUGGAAUUGCUGAGUUUGUUAGGUAUUAAAGGAGACCCAAAGAUAAGUUGAAUAAGAGAAUGAUUAUCUUCAAGUAGAUAGGAAGAUAAGUUUGAAUAAGGGAAUUUCAAAUUAAAGUACGAUAUUGGACUUCAAGUUUUUGAUAGAUUUCUUGUCAUUCUUUGGAAGAAAGAUUAGCAAACUCAUUGAAGUGCUAAUGAAAUGGACAAACUAAGCUACUUUCUUUGAGUAGCUGACAAUUGGCUAUGGAGAUUGAUUUGAGACCUGACGAUAACAUUAGAGUGUGCCAUUAAGAAUGAAAAAGUCACAUGGAGAUUCAUUGGUAUAUGGUAUUUAUGGUUCAACAAUAUUCUUGGAUAAGUGCAAGAGAAACUCAUUCUCCUAAAAGGAGUAAUUGGACAUAUGAUGGAAAGAGGUUUGAGACAGUUCUAAACAAAGAAAGGAGGCAUUAGAAGAAAAGGUAUUUGGGUAAUUGGAAGCGAAGAAAAGUUGCAUCGUAUUUGGUCACUUGUUGAGUUGAAGUGUUAUGUAUGUAAUGUGGGAGGAAGAUAAGUACAAUUAGAGAAUUAUGGAUUAGUAUAUGGUAUGAUAUUGGACUCCUAUUUUUUAUGGAAGCGUUCUAUUCGAUGAAACAUUAAACAAUUGGAUGAAGAGUUGAGAAAAUGGACAAAUUAAGGUACUUUCUUAUAAUUGGCUACAAUUUUCACGAAAAAUGAUGUUAGAAUUCAAGAUUAUAUGCUAAAGGAAAAGAGAUACGGAAGUAUAUGGUGGAUCAAGAGUAUUUAUUUAAAUCAAUAUCAAAACUGAAAAUUGAAGUAUUAUUUGAAGAAUUUGUUUGGAAUAAAAUGGACUUGAGCAUUCCAUUUGGUUUUCAAAUAUGAGGGUACAAAUUAAUAUUUAUUCAGGAGUUUUUUGGAAUUGAAGAUACAUUUUUAUGAUUUUGGAUUUUAAAUGUUAAGAAACUCACAAGUCUAAAAAAGAAUAGUUGAAGAGAAAAGUUUGAUUGUACACAAUAUUAACAGAAAAGGUUUUGGAUUUGUUGGGUUGAAUCGUUAUGUUACAUAAGGAAAAUAAGUUAUAAUAAAAGAAUUUUCUAUUAUUCAACUAUAUGAUUGUACUUCCACGUUUUGGCGUUUGGUGAGGUCUAGACAUUCUUUGGAUAAAGGAGUAUAAAAUUGGAUGGAGAGUUCACAACUUGGAGAAACAUGAUACUUUUAAGAUUUGCCAAAUUGCCGUGAUAUCUUAUAGGAGAAAUUAUGAAUUUAAAGAGGGGAAAAGCACAUGGAGUGUGGUGGAUCAUGGAGUAAUUCAUUGAAAAGAUUUUUAGUAAAUGAAACUCUAAAAUAACAAGUGCUUGGGUUAAUUGGUGCAGGAGUAAAGUUUCUUUUGGUCUAAUAAGGUUAAUAUGAGAUUGAAGUUCGACUUUUGAAUGAAGUGUUCUUGUCCUUCUUUGGAUGAAAUAAGUAAUGAAAUGUUAAGAUGGACAGAGAUGGGGCACCUAUUUGAUUUUCUUCACAGUUCUGGCUUUGGCUUGGACAUGAAGUUGGUUAUAUUUGGACAUUUUCAUUGGUAGAAGGUAGAGUAUUAAAAGUUUUUGAAGGAUUGGUGGAGAAACUUGUAAGCCUAAUAUGUGUAUUUAAAGGAACCAAGAAAAGAGGCCUAAUAGGUUGCCAUCUUUUGAAGAAAGGAUUAUCAAAUUGGAUCAAGUGUUGAAGCAGUAGGAGAGAAAGUGGAAAGGAGGAAAAGAGAAAGUGGAAAGGAGGAAAAGAGAAAGUGGAAAGGGGGAAAUAUUGAAGUCAGAAAGUAGAAGAAGAAAAUACCAAAAUUGAAGAUAGGAAAAAAACAUGAGAAGUGAGAAGGCUGUGAUGAUUAUUGAUUUAGCUUUUAGAAGAGUUCGUACCAAAAAGUUUGUAUUACCCAUCAUUACCCUAGAGCCGGACUAGGGUAUGAUGGGAAAUAAAUACUUUUUGUAGCAUUCGCUCCUAAAAACUAAGCCAAUAAUCAUCACCGCUUUUAUCAAAUUUCUUGUUUUUUUCUUGUAUUUUAAUUUGGUAUUUUCUUUUUCUACUUUCUUACUUUGACUAACGGUGAGAUUAGCCUAAUGGAUUAAAUUUUUAUUUAAGGGAUGGGUGAGUGCUCAUAUCUCUUUGCCAUUGUUUUGAGAAAUGAUUAUCAACUUGAAUUAG
rnacentral:lncRNA from 1 species